rnacentral:lncRNA from 1 species
CGCCGCGUGGCAAGGAAACGCUGACAUGGGACGGGCCACGUGGGCGAUCCACGUGCGCGCGAUCGGACGGCCCAAAUCCGUUCCCGUACGCACGGACGACCCAGAUUUCACGCGUACGGACGGUUCAGAUUCAAUCAGGCACGGACGGUCCAGAUCGCAUCCCGAUGGACAGCCCAGAUUUAAUCCCAAAUAAAUCGUGAUCGGACGGUCUAGAUUUAAUCUUGAUGGACGGUUGAGAUUAAAAGGCGUAGGGUAUAAAUAACCCCACCCACACCCGACCACAAAACCCUAGCCGCCAGUGCCUCGUCGGAGAAGAAGAACCAGAUGCCGGAAGAGCCGGCCGCCACCACUCGCCGCCGUACCGGAGAAUUUUUUGACCGCCAAUCGAGGUAAAUUUUCUCCCCUGCCUCAUUUUUUGAUGAUGAAUCCGUCUAC